CCUACGGGUGGCUGCAGUGGGGAAUAUUGCACAAUGGGCGCAAGCCUGAUGCAGCCAUGCCGCGUGUGUGAAGAAGGCCUUCGGGUUGUAAAGCACUUUCAGCGGGGAGGAAGGCGGUGAGGUUAAUAACCUCAUCGAUUGACGUUACCCGCAGAAGAAGCACCGGCUAACUCCGUGCCAGCAGCCGCGGUAAUACGGAGGGUGCAAGCGUUAAUCGGAAUUACUGGGCGUAAAGCGCACGCAGGCGGUCUGUCAAGUCGGAUGUGAAAUCCCCGGGCUCAACCUGGGAACUGCAUUCGAAACUGGCAGGCUAGAGUCUUGUAGAGGGGGGUAGAAUUCCAGGUGUAGCGGUGAAACGCGUAGAGAUCUGGAGGAAUACCGGUGGCGAAGGCGGCCCCCUGGACAAAGACUGACGCUCAGGUGCGAAAGCGUGGGGAGCAAACAGGAUUAGAUACCCCAGUAGUC
rnacentral:rRNA from 1 species